GUCCUCGUGGCUCAACGGAUAGAGCACCUGGCUUCGGACCAGGGGAUUGUAGGUUCGAAUCCUACCGAGGACG
rnacentral:tRNA from 1 species